rnacentral:rRNA from 1 species
GAUGAACGCUGGCGGCGUGCCUAAUACAUGCAAGUCGAGCGAACAGACGAGGAGCUUGCUCCUCUGACGUUAGCGGCGGACGGGUGAGUAACACGUGGAUAACCUACCUAUAAGACUGGGAUAACUUCGGGAAACCGGAGCUAAUACCGGAUAAUAUAUUGAACCGCAUGGUUCAAUAGUGAAAGACGGUUUUGCUGUCACUUAUAGAUGGAUCCGCGCCGCAUUAGCUAGUUGGUAAGGUAACGGCUUACCAAGGCAACGAUGCGUAGCCGACCUGAGAGGGUGAUCGGCCACACUGGAACUGAGACACGGUCCAGACUCCUACAGGAGGCAGCAGUAGGGAAUCUUCCGCGAUGGGCGAAAGCCUGACGGAGCAACGCCGCGUGAGUGAUGAAGGUCUUCGGAUCGUAAAACUCUGUUAUUAGGGAAGAACAAAUGUGUAAGUAACUAUGCACGUCUUGACGGUACCUAAUCAGAAAGCCACGGCUAACUACGUG